rnacentral:tRNA from 1 species
GCCCUGGUGGCACAAAAGGUUAAGAACUUGGCUGUUAACCAAAAGGUUGGUGGUUCAAACCCACCCCACGGCU